rnacentral:rRNA from 1 species
GACGAACGCUGGCGGCGUGCCUAAUACAUGCAAGUAGAACGCUGAAGGAGGAGCUUGCUUCUCUGGAUGAGUUGCGAACGGGUGGGUAACGCGUAGGUAACCUGCCUGGUAGCGGGGGAUAACUAUUGGAAACGAUAGCUAAUACCGCAUAAGAGUAGAUGUUGCAUGACAUUUGCUUAAAAGGUGCAAUUGCAUCACUACCAGAUGGACCUGCGUUGUAUUAGCUAGUUGGUGGGGUAACGGCUCACCAAGGCGACGAUACAUAGCCGACCUGAGAGGGUGAUCGGCCACACUUGGACUGAGACACGGCCCAGACUCCUACGGGAGGCAGCAGUAGGGAAUCUUCGGCAAUGGACGGAAGUCUGACCGAGCAACGCCGCGUGAGUGAAGAAGGUUUUCGGAUCGUAAAGCUCUGUUGUAAGAGAAGAACGAGUGUGAGAGUGGAAAGUUCACACUGUGACGGUAUCUUACCAGAAAGGGACGGCUAACUACGUG